AUAUAACUAGGCGGAGGAAAAGAAACUAACAAGGAUUCCCUCAGUAACGGCGAGUGAAGCGGGAAAAGCUCAGACUGUUAAUCUUCGGAAUUGUGGUCUGUAGAAGUUAGAUCAGAGUUGUCUGUUCGCCAAGUCUCCUGGAACGGAGCGCCAUGGAGGGUGAUAGCCCCGUCAGCGGACGUGAUAAAGCGUACGAUCGACCUUCGACGAGUCGAGUUGUUUGGGAUUGCAGCUCUAAGUGGGUGGUAAAUUCCAUCUAAAGCUAAAUAUUGGUGGGAGACCGAUAGCGCACAAGUA
rnacentral:rRNA from 1 species